UUAAGUUCAGCGGGUAUCCCUACCUGAUCCGAGGUCAAAAAUGGGGGGUUUGCUUCUGGGAGCCGCCCUACCGGGGCACGAGACCGCGUUUCUGCUGCGCUCGUGGCCGGCGGGGGGCCGCCAAUGGAUUUGAGGUGAGUCCACGCACGGGGCGGGACAGGCACCCAUAACCAAGCUUUGCUUGAGUAGUUAUAUGACGC
rnacentral:misc_RNA from 1 species